CUUUUAUAAUUUUGCUAAAAAAACUAAAAUGAUAGCAAUACUGUAAUUUGAACUGAGGGCAAAGUUGUAUUUGUUGACUUGGGUAAAAUCAUAAUUUGCCAAAAGUUAAAGUGGUGGCAAUACUAUAAAUUUGAACCGGAGACAAAAUCGUACUAUAACUUUGCACUAAGGACAAAAUCGUUAUUUUAAGCUGGGGACAAAACUAUAUUUUUAAUUUGAACUCGGGCAAAUUCAAAAUUUUGAACUGAUGGCAAAAUCGUAAUUUUGAAUAGGGGGGCAAAAGCAUAGUUUUAUUUUGAACCGGGCAAAAACAUAAUUUUAAACUUAAGGCGAAAUAAUAAUUUUUGAAAGGGGCAAAAAUGCGAAAUCGUCAUUUUUAGUUUGGGCGAAAGCAAAAAUUUAUUUUGAACUGGGGCCAAAAUUGUAGUUGUAAUCUGGGGAGAAAAUCAUAAUUUUGAACCGAUGGCAAAAUCGUAAUUUUGAGCGAAGGACAAAAACGUAAUUUUAUUUUGAAGUGGGGGCGAAAACAUAAUUUUAUUUUUAAUGAAGGGCGAAAUCGUAAUUUUAAAACGAAUAUAAAACAAAAAACAUGUUGGUUGGUCCAAUGGGGGAGUGCCAGGCAGCUGCCUGGCACUAUUCCCCCAUCUUGUAA
rnacentral:lncRNA from 1 species